CCCCUCCCCGGCUUUCACAGCUGUCACCGGGCUGCGGCGCCCAAGGGGACGUGGCUUGGCUUCGCGGGCCGCUCGCCCCCGGCGCUGCGAGAGGGAAGAGUCCACCUUUCCGAGGGGAUUUGACGUGUCCACCUCGGUGCCAGACACCUUUGUUUCUCCGCAGGCGGCAGCUGCUCUGCUGGGAAGCGUGGUUUUGGCGCCCAGAUUUCAGUGGCACGGUCCCCCCCGUGAGUCCUGAGGGCGGCUGGAGCAGGGAAGAGCAGCAGCUGCCUGGGCUCGUGCUGGACUCAAAAACUCAAGGAUGCCUGGAGAGUGGGAAGUGCCUGUGUUGGUAGGAAACAGGCUUUGGAGCAAGUGCAUAAUUGGGAAUGGGCGCACGAUCACCGUGAGCUCAUGUUUCUCUCCCAAAAUCCACGAUCCACAGCAGAGACUUUGUGUCUAACAAGCCAGGGGCUUGCCAGGGGAUUCCAGAGUCAUAGAGUUAAGACUGUGAAGGAUUCAGGUCGUUACCUGCACAUUAAAGUCUCCUGUUACAUCUGCCACCACAGUGGGAGUCAAACAUUAGGGAGUCCUAAUGCCCAUCCGAAAUAAUUCCGUUCCCCACCCUAUGUUCUAAACUCAUGCUUUGUCAGUUCUCACUGAGGCUUUUUAACUCAGAAGGGUUCCUUUUCCUCCUGUCACCCUGACAAUUCCUCAUCUCCAUCCUUUCCCAGGAUGCUGAGCAUAGAGUUACAUUGGACAAACGCGGAUCAGUUUUGUUGACUCAUUUUGCAGAGCCACACAUGUCUGAUUUAAAAAUUCUUAGGCAUGGAUUGAUCAGGAUCGGGAUGUUUUUAGUCAAAAAAGCGCUUUAGUGUUGAAUAAAGGCCCCCCCCUUUAACCAUUA